rnacentral:rRNA from 1 species
UACGUAGGGUGCAAGCGUUAAUCGGAAUUACUGGGCGUAAAGUGUGCGCAGGCGGUUGUGUAAGGCAGAUGUGAAAUCCCCGGGCUCAACCUGGGAAUUGCAUUUGAGACUGCACGGCUAGAGUGUGUCAGAGGGGGGUAGAAUUCCACGUGUAGCAGUGAAAUGCGUAGAGAUGUGGAGGAAUACCGAUGGCGAAGGCAGCCCCCUGGGAUAACACUGACGCUCAUGCACGAAAGCGUGGGGAGCAAACAGG